AACGAACGUUAGCGGCGCGCUUAACACAUGCAAGUCGCACGAGAAAGGGCUUCGGCCCCGGUAAAGUGGCGCACGGGUGAGUAACACGUGGGUAAUCUUCCCUCGAGCGGGGGAUAACAUUCCGAAAGGAGUGCUAAUACCGCAUAAGACCACGGCUUCGAAAGAAGCUGAGGUCAAAGCUGGCCUCUAUAUAUAAGCUAGCACUUGAGGAUGAGCCCGCGGCCCAUCAGGUAGUUGGUAGGGUAACGGCCUACCAAGCCUAAGACGGGUAGCUGGUCUGAGAGGAUGAUCAGCCACACUGGAACUGAGACACGGUCCAGACUCCUACGGGAGGCAGCAGUGGGGAAUCUUGCGCAAUGGGCGAAAGCCUGACGCAGCGACGCCGCGUGAGUGAUGAAGGCCUCGG
rnacentral:rRNA from 1 species